rnacentral:rRNA from 1 species
AACGAACGCUGGCGGCGUGCUUUACACAUGCAAGUCGAACGGUGAAGGUGGAGCUUGCUCCGCCGGAUCAGUGGCGAACGGGUGAGUAACACGUGGGCAACCUGCCCCUAACUUUGGGAUAACUACUCGAAAGAGUAGCUAAUACCGGAUAUGAAGUCUGUAGGCAUCUACGGACUUGGAAAGUUUUUCGGUUAGGGAUGGGCCCGCGGCCUAUCAGCUUGUUGGUGAGGUAGUGGCUCACCAAGGCGACGACGGGUAGCCGGCCUGAGAGGGCGACCGGCCACACUGGGACUGAGACACGGCCCAGACUCCUACGGGAGGCAGCAGUGGGGAAUAUUGCGCAAUGGGCGAAAGCCUGACGCAGCAACGCCGCGUGCGGGAUGAAGGCCUUCGGGUUGUAAACCGCUUUCAGCAGGGAAGAAGCGAAAGUGACGGUACCUGCAGAAGAAGCACCGGCUAACUACGUGCCAGCCGCCGCCGUAAGAC